AACGAACGCUGGCGGCAGGCUUAACACAUGCAAGUCGAACGGGCGUAGCAAUACGUCAGUGGCGGACGGGUGAGGAACGCGUGGGAAUAUCCCCUUCAGUUCGGAAUAACUCAGGGAAACUUGAGCUAAUACCGGAUACGUCAGAGAUGAGAAAGAUUUAUCGCUGAAGGAUUAGCCCGCGUCUGAUUAGCUAGUUGGUGAGGUAAUGGCUCACCAAGGCUACGAUCAGUAGCUGAUCUGAGAGGAUGAUCAGCCACAUUGGGACUGAGACACGGCCCAAACUCCUACGGGAGGCAGCAGUGGGGAAUAUUGGACAAUGGGCGCAAGCCUGAUCCAGCCAUGCCGCGUGAGUGAUGAAGGCCUUCGGGUUGUAAAGCUCUUUUGUCCGGGAAGAUAAUGACUGUACCGGAAGAAUAAGCCCCGGCAAACUUCGUGCCAGCAGCCGCCGUAAUAC
rnacentral:rRNA from 1 species